GACGAACGCUGGCGGCGUGCUUAACACAUGCAAGUCGAACGGAAAGGCCCUGCUUUUGUGGGGUGCUCGAGUGGCGAACGGGUGAGUAACACGUGAGUAACCUGCCCUUGACUUUGGGAUAACUUCAGGGAACUGGGGCUAAUACCGGAUAGGAGCUCCUGCUGCAUGGUGGGGGUUGGAAAGUUUCGGCGGUUGGGGAUGGACUCGCGGCUUAUCAGCUUGUUGGUGGGGUAGUGGCUUACCAAGGCUUUGACGGGUAGCCGGCCUGAGAGGGUGACCGGCCACAUUGGGACUGAGAUACGGCCCAGACUCCAACGGGAGGCAGCAGGGGGGAAUAUUGCACAAUGGGCGGAAGCCUGAUGCAGCAACGCCGCGUGCGGGAUGACGGCCUUCGGGUUGUAAACCGCUUUCGCCUGUGACGAAGCGUGAGUGACGGUAAUGGGUAAAGAAGCACCGGCUAACUACGUG
rnacentral:rRNA from 1 species